GGACAGAUGCCAGAGUGGUCGAUUGGGCACGCCUGGAAAGCGUGUGUGGGUGAAAGCUCACCGUGGGUUCGAAUCCCACUCUGUCCGCCA
rnacentral:tRNA from 1 species